AGUGAACGCUGGCGGUAGGCCUAACACAUGCAAGUCGAACGGCAGCACAGUAAGAGCUUGCUCUUACGGGUGGCGAGUGGCGGACGGGUGAGGAAUACAUCGGAAUCUACUUUUUCGUGGGGGAUAACGUAGGGAAACUUACGCUAAUACCGCAUACGACCUACGGGUGAAAGCAGGGGAUCUUCGGACCUUGCGCGAUUGAAUGAGCCGAUGUCGGAUUAGCUAGUUGGCGGGGUAAAGGCCCACCAAGGCGACGAUCCGUAGCUGGUCUGUGAGGAUGAUCAGCCACACUGGAACUGAGACACGGUCCAGACUCCUACGGGAGGCAGCAGUGGGAAAUAUUGGACAAGGGGCGCAAGCCUGAUCCAGCCAUACCGCGUGGGUGAAGAAGGCCUGCGGGUUGUAAAGCCCUUUUGUUGGGAAAGAAAAGCAGCAGGUUAAUACCCCGCUGUUCUGACGGUACCCAAAGAAUAAGCACCGGCUAACUUCGU
rnacentral:rRNA from 1 species